UACGGGGGGGAGCAAGCGUUGUUCGGAUUUUACUGGGCGUAAAAGGGGCGCGUAGGCGGGCGCAAACAAAGUCACUUUGUGAAAAUCUCCCGGGGCUUUAACCCCGGAGCGGCCAAGUGAUACUGUCGUGCUAGAGUGCGGGAAGGGGGCUACUGGAAAUUCUCGGUGUAGCGGUGAAAUGCGUAGAUAUCAGGAGGAACACCGGUGGCGAAGGCGGCCCUCUGGACGGAUACUGACGCUGAGGCGCGAAAAGCGUUGG
rnacentral:rRNA from 1 species